UACAGAGGAGCCAAGCGUUGUCCGGAUUGACUGGGCGUAAAGCGCACGCAGGCGGUUGCGCGCGUGGGGGGGGAAAUCUGGCCGCUUAACGGCCAGGCGCCAUCCCAUACGGCGCGACUGGAGGGCUGCAGAGGUCGAUGGAAUUGCCGGUGUAGUGGUGAAAUGCGUAGAGAUCGGCAGGAACACCCAGGGGGAAACCAGUCGACUGGGCAGCACCUGACGCUGAGGUGCGAGAGCGUGGGGAGCGAACCGG
rnacentral:rRNA from 1 species